rnacentral:rRNA from 1 species
CAGUAGCCGCGGGAAUACGAAGGGUGCUAGCGUUGCUCGGAAUUACUGGGCGUAAAGGGCGCGUAGGCGGACAGUUUAGUCGGGGGUGAAAGCCCGGGGCUCAACCUCGGAAUUGCCUUCGAUACUGGCUGUCUUGAGUGUGAGAGAGGUGUGUGGAACUCCGAGUGUAGAGGUGAAAUUCGUAGAUAUUCGGAAGAACACCAGUGGCGAAGGCGACACACUGGCUCACUACUGACGCUGAGGCGCGAAAGCGUGGGGAGCAAACAGGAUUAGAUACACGGGUAGUCCCUGUCUCUUAUAC